UCUUCCCCUCAUGGAAGGCUAGAACCAGCUGCAGUUGGUUAUUUCCCUUCCCGAGGUCAGGCUCUGGUUAACUAGUUUCUGCUGAGGGCACUCCUUAUUAGGAAAAACAGAAUCUUCUGGCGUAUUUCAAAAUGGUUUCUUUCCUCAGCGUCCUGACAGAAGCUGGAAAGGAUUUUGCUCUGAUAUUUAAAAUGGGAACCUUGUUAAGCUCCUAGAGAUAAAUUUCACAAUAUUGUGGAGUUUUUAACUCUCAGACUUGGCACUGAGCCUCCAGCAAUUCAUCAAUUAUGGUACAGAACUUCCUACCCUGGCACUGGUUCCUCCGUGGUUCUGUUCCUGAGUUUCUGCUCUGACUAAUUCAUGAAAAAAUACUGCUGUUCCGUAACAUCCUUUGAGACUAAGUUGGUGCUAGCAUGUGGAAAUACAGUUCUCUCUGUGUAUUAACUUUGAUCCUGUGACACUGAUUCCCCGUGGUGGUUGGACAUAACCGUAAUCAUAUAUCAUGGCAUAUGUUCCUACUAACACAGGAUUUUAG